rnacentral:rRNA from 1 species
UUAAGCGACUAAGCGUACACGGUGGAUGCCUUGGCAGUCAGAGGCGAUGAAGGACGUGCUAAUCUGCGAUAAGCGUCGGUAAGGUGAUAUGAACCGUUAUAACCGGCGAUUUCCGAAUGGGGAAACCCAGUGUGUUUCGACACACUAUCAUUAACUGAAUCCAUAGGUUAAUGAGGCGAACCGGGGGAACUGAAACAUCUAAGUACCCCGAGGAAAAGAAAUCAACCGAGAUUCCCCCAGUAGCGGCGAGCGAACGGGGAGCAGCCCAGAGCCUGAAUCAGUGUGUGUGUUAGUGGAAGCGUCUGGAAAGGCGCGCGAUACAGGGUGACAGCCCCGUACACAAAAAUGCACAUGCUGUGAGCUCGAUGAGUAGGGCGGGACACGUGGUAUCCUGUCUGAAUAUGGGGGGACCAUCCUCCUAAGGCUAAAUACUCCUGACUGACCGAUAGUGAACCAGUACCGUGAGGGAAAGGCGAAAAGAACCCCGGCGAGGGGAGUGAAAAAGAACCUGAAACCGUGUACGUACAAGCAGUGGGAGCCUCUUUAUGGGGUGACUGCGUACCUUUUGUAUAAUGGGUCAGCGACUUAUAUUCUGUAGCAAGGUUAACCGAAUAGGGGAGCCGAAGGGAAACCGAGUCUUAACUGGGCGUUAAGUUGCAGGGUAUAGACCCGAAACCCGGUGAUCUAGCCAUGGGCAGGUUGAAGGUUGGGUAACACUAACUGGAGGACCGAACCGACUAAUGUUGAAAAAUUAGCGGAUGACUUGUGGCUGGGGGUGAAAGGCCAAUCAAACCGGGAGAUAGCUGGUUCUCCCCGAAAGCUAUUUAGGUAGCGCCUCGUGAAUUCAUCUCCGGGGGUAGAGCACUGUUUCGGCAAGGGGGUCAUCCCGACUUACCAACCCGAUGCAAACUGCGAAUACCGGAGAAUGUUAUCACGGGAGACACACGGCGGGUGCUAACGUCCGUCGUGAAGAGGGAAACAACCCAGACCGCCAGCUAAGGUCCCAAAGUCAUGGUUAAGUGGGUAAACGAUGUGGGAAGGCCCAGACAGCCAGGAUGUUGGCUUAGAAGCAGCCAUCAUUUAAAGAAAGCGUAAUAGCUCACUGGUCGAGUCGGCCUGCGCGGAAGAUGUAACGGGGCUAAACCAUGCACCGAAGCUGCGGCAGCGACGCUUAUGCGUUGUUGGGUAGGGGAGCGUUCUGUAAGCCUGUGAAGGUGUGCUGUGAGGCAUGCUGGAGGUAUCAGAAGUGCGAAUGCUGACAUAAGUAACGAUAAAGCGGGUGAAAAGCCCGCUCGCCGGAAGACCAAGGGUUCCUGUCCAACGUUAAUCGGGGCAGGGUGAGUCGACCCCUAAGGCGAGGCCGAAAGGCGUAGUCGAUGGGAAACAGGUUAAUAUUCCUGUACUUGGUGUUACUGCGAAGGGGGGACGGAGAAGGCUAUGUUGGCCGGGCGACGGUUGUCCCGGUUUAAGCGUGUAGGCUGUAUUUUCCAGGCAAAUACCGGAAAAUCAAGGCUGAGGCGUGAUGACGAGGCACUACGGUGCUGAAGCAACAAAUGCCCUGCUUCCAGGAAAAGCCUCUAAGCAUCAGGUAACAUCAAAUCGUACCCCAAACCGACACAGGUGGUCAGGUAGAGAAUACCAAGGCGCUUGAGAGAACUCGGGUGAAGGAACUAGGCAAAAUGGUGCCGUAACUUCGGGAGAAGGCACGCUGAUAUGUAGGUGAAGUCCCUCGCGGAUGGAGCUGAAAUCAGUCGAAGAUACCAGCUGGCUGCAACUGUUUAUUAAAAACACAGCACUGUGCAAACACGAAAGUGGACGUAUACGGUGUGACGCCUGCCCGGUGCCGGAAGGUUAAUUGAUGGGGUCAGCGCAAGCGAAGCUCUUGAUCGAAGCCCCGGUAAACGGCGGCCGUAACUAUAACGGUCCUAAGGUAGCGAAAUUCCUUGUCGGGUAAGUUCCGACCUGCACGAAUGGCGUAAUGAUGGCCAGGCUGUCUCCACCCGAGACUCAGUGAAAUUGAACUCGCUGUGAAGAUGCAGUGUACCCGCGGCAAGACGGAAAGACCCCGUGAACCUUUACUAUAGCUUGACACUGAACAUUGAGCCUUGAUGUGUAGGAUAGGUGGGAGGCUUAGAAGUGUGGACGCCAGUCUGCAUGGAGCCGGCCUUGAAAUACCACCCUUUAAUGUUUGAUGUUCUAACGUGGACCCGUAAUCCGGGUUGCGGACAGUGUCUGGUGGGUAGUUUGACUGGGGCGGUCUCCUCCUAAAGAGUAACGGAGGAGCACGAAGGUUGGCUAAUCCUGGUCGGACAUCAGGAGGUUAGUGCAAUGGCAUAAGCCAGCUUGACUGCGAGCGUGACGGCGCGAGCAGGUGCGAAAGCAGGUCAUAGUGAUCCGGUGGUUCUGAAUGGAAGGGCCAUCGCUCAACGGAUAAAAGGUACUCCGGGGAUAACAGGCUGAUACCGCCCAAGAGUUCAUAUCGACGGCGGUGUUUGGCACCUCGAUGUCGGCUCAUCACAUCCUGGGGCUGAAGUAGGUCCCAAGGGUAUGGCUGUUCGCCAUUUAAAGUGGUACGCGAGCUGGGUUUAGAACGUCGUGAGACAGUUCGGUCCCUAUCUGCCGUGGGCGCUGGAGAACUGAGGGGGGCUGCUCCUAGUACGAGAGGACCGGAGUGGACGCAUCACUGGUGUUCGGGUUGUCAUGCCAAUGGCACUGCCCGGUAGCUAAAUGCGGAAGAGAUAAGUGCU